AACGAACGCUGGCGGCGUGCCUAAUACAUGCAAGUCGAACGCCCCGCAAGGGGAGUGGCGCACGGGUGAGUAACGCGUGGGAAUAUGCCCUUCGGUUCGGAAUAACACAGGGAAACUUGUGCUAAUACCGGAUACGAUCUACGGAUGAAAGAUUUAUCGCCGAGGGAGUAGCCCGCGUAGGAUUAGCUAGUUGGUGAGGUAAUGGCUCACCAAGGCGACGAUCCUUAGCUGGUCUGAGAGGAUGAUCAGCCACACUGGGACUGAGACACGGCCCAGACUCCUACGGGAGGCAGCAGUGGGGAAUAUUGGACAAUGGGCGAAAGCCUGAUCCAGCCAUGCCGCGUGAGUGAUGAAGGCCUUAGGGUUGUAAAGCUCUUUCGCCAGGGAAGAUAAUGACGGUACCUGGAAAAGAAGCCUCGGCUAACUCCGUGCCAGCCGCCGCUGUAA
rnacentral:rRNA from 1 species